rnacentral:rRNA from 1 species
AUUGAACGCUGGCGGCAGGCCUAACACAUGCAAGUCGAGCGGAUGAGUGGAGCUUGCUCCAUGAUUCAGCGGCGGACGGGUGAGUAAUGCCUAGGAAUCUGCCUGGUAGUGGGGGACAACGUUUCGAAAGGAACGCUAAUACCGCAUACGUCCUACGGGAGAAAGUGGGGGAUCUUCGGACCUCACGCUAUCAGAUGAGCCUAGGUCGGAUUAGCUAGUUGGUGAGGUAAAGGCUCACCAAGGCGACGAUCCGUAACUGGUCUGAGAGGAUGAUCAGGCACACUGGAACUGAGACACGGUCCAGACUCCUACGGGAGACAGCAGUGGGGAAUAUUGGACAAUGGGCGAAAGCCUGAUCCAGCCAUGCCGCGUGUGUGAAGAAGGUCUUCGGAUUGUAAAGCACUUUAAGUUGGGAGGAAGGGCAGUAAGUUAAUACCUUGCUGUUUUGACGUUACCAACAGAAUAAGCACCGGCUAACUUCGUGCCAGCAGCCGCCGUAACAC